rnacentral:rRNA from 1 species
UAUUUCGUGCAUGGAAUAAUAGAAUAUGAUCUCGGUUCUAUUUUGUUGGUUUUCAGAACUCCGAGGUAAUGAUUAAUAGGGAUAACUGGGGGCAUUCGUAUUGCGACGUUAGAGGUGAAAUUCUUGGACGUCGCAAGACGACAUCAGCGAAAGCAUUUGCCAAAGGUGUUUUCAUCAAUCAAGAACGAAAGUUAGAGGUUCGAAGGCGAUUAGAUACCGCCCUAGUUCUAACCGUAAAUAUGUCGUCUAGCGAUCCGCCGACGUUACUAUGAUGGCUCGGCGGGCAGCUUCCGGGAAACC